rnacentral:rRNA from 1 species
AAUCAACGCUGGCGGCGUGCCUAACACAUGCAAGUCGAACGCGAAAGCCCCUUCGGGGGUAAGUAGAGUGGCGUCCGGGUGAGUAACACGUAGGUAAUCUGCCUUCGGGUGGGGAAUAACCAGUCGAAAGAUUGGCUAAUACCGCAUAAUGCAGCGGCACCUAAUGGUGAUUAGUUGUUAAAGCGGGGGAUCGUAAGACCUCGCGCCUGAAGAGGAGCCUGCGGCAGAUUAGCUAGNGGUGAGGUAAUGGCUCACCAAGGCUUCGAUCUGUAGCUGGUCUGAGAGGACGGCCAGCCACACUGGCACUGACACACGGGCCAGACUCCUACGGGAGGCAGCAGU